AUAGUACUCCCUCCGAUUCAUAUUAAUUGUCAAAAUAUUACAUGUAUCUACGCUUUUUAAUCAUAGAUACAUCUAUAUUUGGGCAAAUUUGAGACAAUUAAUACGGAUCGGAGGGAGUAACAG
rfam:Brachypodium distachyon strain Bd21 chromosome 4, whole genome shotgun sequence.